GCCGCUGUAGCUCAGUUGGUAGAGCAAAGGACUGAAAAUCCUUGUGUCGAGGGUUCAAUUCCCUCUGGCGGCA
rnacentral:tRNA from 2 species